UGAGCUGGCCAGGCGGCCGCGUCGAGCCCUCGGGCUCGCCGAGGAACGUCCGGGCUCCACAGGGCAGGGUGGUGGGUAACACCCACCCGGGGUGACCCGCGGGACAGUGCCACAGAGAACAGACCGCCGUCGCACGGCCUUCGGGACGGGCGGCGGUAAGGGUGAAACGGUGGUGUAAGAGACCACCAGCGUGCCGGGCGACCGGUGCGGCUCGGUAAACCCCACCCGGAGCAAGGCCAGACAGGGAGCGUUCGAGGGCUGCCCGCCCGAGCUCCCGGGUAGGCCGCUGGAGGCGUGCGGCAACGUACGUCGUAGAUGGAUGGCCGCCACCCGCGCGGGGGUGACCGCGCGCGGGGACAGAACCCGGCGUACAAGCCAGCUCAUCCG
rnacentral:RNase_P_RNA from 1 species